rnacentral:rRNA from 1 species
AGAGUUUGAUCCUGGCUCAGAACGAACGCUGGCGGCAGGCCUAACACAUGCAAGUCGAGCGCCCGCAAGGGAGCGGCAGACGGGUGAGUAACGCGUGGGAACGUGCCCUUUGGUUCGGAAUAUUCCCGGGAAACUGGGAGCAAAACCGGAUAAGCCCUUCGGGGGAAAGUUUACGCCAAAGGAUCGGCCCGCGUUAGAUUAGGUAGUUGGUGGGGUAACGGCCUACCAAGCCUACGAUCUAUAGCCGAUCUGAGAGGAUGAUCAGCCACACUGGGACUGAGACACGGCCCAGACUCCUACGGGAGGCAGCAGUGGGGAAUCUUGGACAAUGGGCGCAAGCCUGAUCCAGCCAUGCCGCGUGGAUGACUGAAGGCCCUAGGGUUGUAAAGUCCUUUCGACGGGGACGAUAAUGACGGUACCCGUAGAAGAAGCCCCGGCUAACUUCGUGCCAGCAGCCGCGGUAAUACGAAGGGGGCUAGCGUUGUUCGGAUUUACUGGGCGUAAAGGGCGCGUAGGCGGAUUUUUAAGUCGGGGGUGAAAUCCCGGAGCUCAACUCCGGAACUGCCUUCGAUACUGAAAGUCUGGAGCACGGUAGAGGUGAGUGGAAUUCCGAGUGUAGCGGUGAAAUGCGUAGA